rnacentral:rRNA from 1 species
AGAAUCAACGCUGGCGGCGUGCCUAACACAUGCAAGUCGAACGAGAAAGUGGAGCAAUCCAUGAGUAAAGUGGCGACCGGGUGAGUAACACGUGACUAACCUACCUUCGAGUGGGGGAUAACAUCGGGAAACCGAUGCUAAUACCGCAUAACAUCGCAAGAUCAAAGCAGCAAUGCGCUGGAAGAGGGGGUCGCGGCUGAUUAGCUAGUUGGCGGGGUAACGGCCCACCAAGGCGAAGAUCGGUAGCCGGCCUGAGAGGGCGCACGGCCACACUGGAACUGAACACGGUCCAGACUCCUACGGGAGGCAGCAGUGGGGAAUUUUGCGCGAAUGGGGGAAACCUGACGCAGCAACGCCGCGUGGAGGAUGAAGCCCUUGGGGUGUAACUCCUUUCGACCAAGACGAUAAUGACGGUACUGGUGGAAGAAGCGACCGGCUAACUCUGCGCCAGCAGCCGC